rnacentral:rRNA from 1 species
UACUCAGUUCGGAUUGAAGGCUGAAAUUCGCCUUCAUGAAGCUGGAAUUGCUAGUAAUGGCAGGUCAGCAUACUGCCGUGAAUACGUUCCCGGGCCUUGUACACACCGCCCGUCACACCAUGGGAGUUUGUAACGCCCAAAGUCGGUGGCCUAACCUUUAUGGAGGGAGCCGCCUAAGGCGGGACAGAUGACUGGGGUGAAGUCGUAACAAGGUAGC